GAACUUAAGCAUAUCAAUAAGCGGAGGAAAAGAAACUAACAAGGAUUCCCCUAGUAACUGCGAGUGAAGCGGGAAAAGCUCAAAUUUAAAAUCUGGUAGUCUCUGGCUGCCCGAGUUGUAAUCUAGAGAAGUGUUAUCCGCGCUGGACCGUGUAUAAGUCUCCUGGAAUGGAGCGUCAUAGAGGGUGAGAAUCCCGUCUUUGACACGGACUACCAGGGCUUUGUGAUGCGCUCUCAAAGAGUCGAGUUGUUUGGGAAUGCAGCUCUAAAUGGGUGGUAAAUUCCAUCUAAAGCUAAAUAUUGGCGAGAGACCGAUAGCGAACAAGUACCGUGAGGGAAAGAUGAAAAGAACUUUGGAAAGAGAGUUAAACAGUACGUGAAAUUGUUGAAAGGGAAACGCUUGAAGUCAGUCGCGUUGGCUAGGAAUCAGCCUUGCUUUUGCUUGGUGUACUUCCUUGUUGACGGGUCAGCAUCAAUUUUGACCGAUGGAAAAAGGCUAGUGGAAUGUGGCAUCUUCGGAUGUGUUAUAGCUGCUAGUUGUAUACAUCGGUUGGGAUUGAGGAACUCAGCACGCCGAAAGGUCGGGGUUCGCCCACGUUCGUGCUUAGGAUGCUGGCAUAAUGGCUUUAAUCGACCCGUCUUGAAACACGGACCAAGGAGUCUAACAUGCCUGCGAGUGUUUGGGUGGAAAACCCGAGCGCGUAAUGAAAGUGAAAGUUGAGAUCCCUGUCGUGGGGAGCAUCGACGCCCGGACCAGACCUUCUGUGACGGAUCCGCGGUAGAGCAUGUAUGUUGGGACCCGAAAGAUGGUGAACUAUGCCUGAAUAGGGUGAAGCCAGAGGAAACUCUGGUGGAGGCUCGUAGCGAUUCUGACGUGCAAAUCGAUCGUCAAAUUUGGGUAUAGGGGCGAAAGACUAAUCGAACCAUCUAGUAGCUGGUUCCUGCCGAAUUUCCUCAGGAUAGCAGAAACUCAUAUCAGAUUUAUGUGGUAAAGCGAAUGAUUAGAGGCCUUGGG
rnacentral:rRNA from 1 species